rnacentral:rRNA from 1 species
UACGGAGGGUGCAAGCGUUGUCCGGAAUCACUGGGCGUAAAGGGCGCGUAGGCGGCGUUUUAAGUCGGGGGUGAAAGCCUGUGGCUCAACCACAGAAUGGCCUCGAUACUGGGACGCUUGAGUAUGGUAGAGGUUGGUGGAACUGCGAGUGUAGAGGUGAAAUUCGUAGAUAUUCGCAAGAACACCAGUGGCGAAGGCGGCCAACUGGUCCGAAACUGACGCUGAGGCGCGAAAGCGUGGGGAGCAAACAGGG